rnacentral:tRNA from 1 species
GUGGCUCAGUUUUAGAGCGCUUGCCUUACAUGCAUGAAGCCCUGGGUUCAAUUCCUCAGC